rnacentral:lncRNA from 1 species
UGGUACCAGCCACUGCAAAAUCAUGCCAAAUUGUAAAGACGAUCAAGGCUAAGAAGAAACUGCAUCAACUAACGAGCAAAAUAACCAGCUAACAUCAUCAUGACAGGAUCAAAUUCACACAUAACAAUAUUAACUUUAAAUGGAAAUGGACUAAAUGCUCCAAUUAAAAGACACAGACUGGCAAAUUGGAUAAAGAGUCAAGACCCAUCAGUGUGCUGUAUUCAGGAAUCCCAUCUCAUGGGCAGAGACACACAUAGGCUCAAAAUAAAAGGAUGGAGGAAGAUCUCCCAAGCAAAUGGAAAACAAAAAAAGGCAGGGGUUGCAAUCCUAGUCUCUGAUAAAACAGACUUUAAACCAACAAAGAUCAAAAGAGACAAAGAAGGCCAUUACAUAAUGGUAAAGGGAUCAAUUCAAAUGUCCUUAAACCUAAUAAUAUGAAAUUUGGGGAAUAUGCCCAUGAACUUUAUGGCAAUAUUCACACUUUAUAGUUUUCAAUCAGGCCAAUAGUUAACUUUUGCUUUGACAUGUGCACUUGGAAAGAGUUCGUGAGGGUUCAUUACCAAGAUCCCUUGACUUUAUACAUAUAGUUUAGAUUUUUAAGCUCUAAGCCCAUUUAUCUAAAACAUUUCUUUUAGCCAAAUGUCUUUUACAAGAAAAUUUUAUCAAUGAUGCACCAUUAUAAGAGUUUGUUCAUCUACCUUAUCCUGAGAAACCUAGAUGCUGUAUUAUUCUAACAUGAGACAACUUUCUAAAUUUAUCAAGCCUUUGAUUAUAAAUUUGAACAAGAGAGAUCACGUAUCCCACUGUUGAAAAGAUGUGUUUUUUCUUAACUUCCUGGCCAUAUGGAGAAAAUACUAUUGAAUAUACACUUUAUACUCCA